rnacentral:rRNA from 1 species
AAAUUGAAGAGUUUGAUCAUGGCUCAGAUUGAACGCUGGCGGCAGGCCUAACACAUGCAAGUCGAACGGUAACAGGAAGAAGCUUGCUUCUUUGCUGACGAGUGGCGGACGGGUGAGUAAUGUCUGGGAAACUACCUGAUGGAGGGGGAUAACUACUGGAAACGGUAGCUAAUACCGCAUAACGUCGCAAGACCAAAGAGGGGGACCUUCGGGCCUCUUGCCAUCGGAUGUGCCCAGAUGGGAUUAGCUAGUAGGUGGGGUAACGGCUCACCUAGGCGACGAUCCCUAGCUGGUCUGAGAGGAUGACCAGCCACACUGGAACUGAGACACGGUCCAGACUCCUACGGGAGGCAGCAGUGGGGAAUAUUGCACAAUGGGCGCAAGCCUGAUGCAGCCAUGCCGCGUGUAUGAAGAAGGCCUUCGGGUUGUAAAGUACUUUCAGCGGGGAGGAAGGGAGUAAAGUUAAUACCUUUGCUCAUUGACGUUACCCGCAGAAGAAGCACCGGCUAACUCCGUGCCAGCAGCCGCGGUAAUACGGAGGGUGCAAGCGUUAAUCGGAAUUACUGGGCGUAAAGCGCACG